CUUACCAAUCAAGCUCAGCUCAGGCAACACUUAUUGAAGAGGCCUACUCGUCUGUCUGUCUGACCUGCACGCAUGAAAUGCAGCGCCCCCAGAAAAGGGAUGUCAAUACGAAAUAAUGUACUGAGUAUGUAAGGCAAUAUACUGAAAGCUUAAACUGAACUGAUAAUAUAAUAACUGCAAGUAGCUGGAAGUCAAAGAUAAUCUGAAGAUAUGCUUACCUAUUGAUACUGACUCAAUUUUCUCAAUAUAAUAAGUAAAAUAGUUGUCCGGCCCUAUAAGGCUCGGUAUACAUAUAUAUCUGCUUUGUCGUAGUAGGCUCGCUCAUAAGCGCUUGGCCAUACUAGGCUCUGUAUCUCGACCAACUGGGCUCGCUCGUACGUGCUCGGCCACAGUAGGCUCGGUAUAUAUAUAAUUGCUCUGCCAUAGUAGGCUCUCUCAUACGUGCUCGGCCAUACUAGGCUCUGUAUCUCGACCAACUGGGCUCGCGCAUAAGCGCUCAUCCACAGUAGGCUCGGUAUAUAAUUUACCAUCUGAUCAGAGGUUGCCCAAUAGGGGUCUGCCCAUCGAUUAUAGCUCGAUGGUAAUGAAAAUACUUUUAAUACUAUAUAUAUAAACUUCUCUGCUCUCUUAACUGUAAGAAGAAAAUACUUAACUGAAUAUGAAGUCCCGAUAAGGAGAAUAUUAUAACUUACAACACUAGGAAAAUAUACGCAAUUUGCGAGACUAGCAAAAUAUACGUAAAUUCCGGGAUAUGAAUGUAAAGACGAGAUCAUGCCAAAUGAAAGAAGAGCUUAGCCUUAACAUACCUGGAGUAGGGAAAAAAUCCAUAUAAUAUCUCGGAAAAGAUUGUACCGUACUCCUUCAGAACCGUAAAAUUUUUACGUUACUACUGUUCUAACAAUUCUCGUUGGAAUUGUUUGCAAAAUUUCAUUGGAAGCCUUUUCUUUCCGGAUGAGCUUAGUGUUCUUCUUUUGAACAUUGAGAAUGAACGUGAGACACUUCUUUUGACUUCCAUUAUCAAGGAUUUAUUGCCUAUGAUUAUUUGAAAGAAGACUUUCAUUUGCGUUUUUGUUCUCCGCCAAAAA
rnacentral:lncRNA from 1 species